ensembl:lncRNA
UCACUUCUACCGCAAAAGACUGCUUUGAUUACCUACCUGCCGACCUAAAGGACUUCCAUUGGAUACUUACCUGUCUCCCUCGCUCUCAAGUUACCUCCUGUUGAGUGAGUGAGUGAGUGAGUGAGUGUCUCCUUCCCGCAACGUCUCUUCUUCGGAUUCUUCUAGGACCUUCAUCAUAUCAUCUCAAGGACAGUAUUCAGUUUACUCUCUCUCAUCCCUCACCUCAAGAACACUCGCUACCAUAUUUACUCUGCUUUUGUCAAUAAAUACCACCUUACCUGUUAUCUUCUGUCUCCGUCCCUUCUGUACUGUAACAGACCUAUGCUCUCAAUGUCAAAUGCAGAAAUGUUAAUCCAUGCGUUUAUGACCUCAAGGUUAGAUUAUUGUAAUGCUUUAUUGGGUGGUUGUUCUGCACACUUAAUAAACAAACUCCAGUUAGUCCAAAAUGCAGCA